CAUAUAAUCAUUAAUGUCAACUAUGUGGAACUGCUAUAAUAUGGUACUGAAAUUGAUUACAUUUUGCUCUUUGAAGGGAUUGGAAAUAAGCAAAGAAGCAUGGAAUGGAAUAACAGAUACAUCUCUCAUUGAUAACGUCUAAAGUAACUUCAAAGGCCUGAUAAGUGAUGAUCGCUUGGCCAGUUGGGAUGAUCUUCGGUGCUAUUGCUGGAAUAGGACAACCAACUUCACUGGAUAAUUAUACUUGAUUGACUGGCAUAAGCAAAUAAUAUGAAGUACCAAGCUACUUCAAAGAAUACUUGCAUGUUGGAGGCAGUGAAGCUGUAAUAUCUACUCAGACAGUUCUCGCAUCCUAAUCAUCUCUAGCAUGUGAGUGAUUUUAUCUAUACAUUAUCCACUUAAUAUAUACAUGAAUUCAAAUUUCCAGUUGCAGGAUGUUGAUAUAUGAAACACUGUCAAUGGCAGAUCCUUGAACUUAUCAACAACAAAAAAAAUGGUAGAUCCUUCAACUUAUACCAAUAUGAUGAACAAAA